UACCCCCCCCCCCCCAUUAAUGCACAAAUAGGCUGACACCAGACAUAAUUUCACUGCAUUUCUUACUUCCAGUAACUAUAUGCAUGUGACAAUAAACUUCCUUGUAUCCUUGUAUCCUUGUAUCUUGUAUUGAGAUGUAGUUGCACAGUAUUUUUCCUCUUAUUAGUAAAUAUGCUACAGUAGCUAUUAAUAAGUGUAUUGCUAAAGUAAAUACACUGUAAUACUGUAGCCUACUACAUUCAUUGCGUUGAUGGAUAGUGUCUGUAUUAAUUCAUUGUCAGACAGUUAAGCUGACAUGCUUUUUGUUCUCAGUGAUUAUAAAAAAGAUUAUGACUUUGCAUGAUGUUUAAGGGACCUAAUAAUAUAAGGAAGGUAACAUAGCCUCUCUAAAACAAUUAGCCACUUCUUAAUUAUGAACCAAUAGAGAUCUAACUUUUUAAUGACAUAUUGCAUGUUGAUUUAUGUGUGUGAGAACUGUUUACCUAGAGCUGUGUACAUAAUUGCCACCAUGUCUAAAUCACUCACAUGCAAUUAUGUGCAAAUAUGAAUUGAGGUGGGAAAAAUGAUUUUAGGGAGAAAAUUACAGUGUAAAGUGUUCAGUGGCAAACCUGUAACUGAAAUGGAAAAUAUCAGAGAAGAGCUAUUCCAUUUAUCUUUCAUAUUCUUUUAUUGUCUGUUUAUUACGGUGGCCGAGAAGGGCCAUAACACAUGCAAACGCCACAACAAAUGCAUAUUCAUAAAACAAUUACAUAUUCAUAAAACACCUCCAAAUUCAUAAAACACCAACAUCGAUUUCACAACACGUGUGCUACAAAUGACAAAAACAUCUGCAUAUUCAGAAAACGCCUGCAAAUUUUGAAAACAUUUGCAUCGAUUUUACCUCACGUAUGCUGCAAAUAUUCACAACACGAGCAAACGAGGUUAACGACAUGCAAGUUGAAAAGACGACAACGGAAAUGUUUCCAGAGGGACCAUAAUCAGUGAAGACCUGCUUCCGGUUGGCGCUUCUUUUUUAUGAAUGCGGUUGAACGUGCUAUUUUCUCCCGUCCUUUAAUAACUAACGUUACAAGAGGUAAGUGAGUUUGCGCUUUUAUUAUGACAGACUUGUCUAUGUGCUCUGAUACCGAAGUGGUUUUGUGUAUUUUUAACAUAUUAAGGCAUUGUAUUGUAAGGCAUAGUGCUAACGUAUUAGUCCAUGCAGAUAAAUGUUAAACGUUCUGCAAACGUUGUUAGCUAAACGUUGUUAGCUGGCUAGCUCGCUCGCUCCUGGUUACUAAUAGAUGCAUUACCGGCGUUAUUACAUGGUUGUCCUAAGCACUGUGCCCUUUUGCGCACCACUACUUUCGAAAAUUGUCACUGUCACAUCGUAUGUAUGUAAACUCUGAUUUCAUGGUGCAAGUUCGUGCAGAUAUGAGCACCUUGCUCCUUCACCAUUUCCCGCUACUGGGACUCUGGCACUAACGUUACCUCUUGGUUAAAUCGCUAAUGUAUCAGCUUAGCAUCAUGUCGCCAGGGCUCUCUCUUAACAAUAAAACAAUUUAAAAAUGCCAUGUUAAUGCAAGAGUAUGCCUGAUAUCUGAACUAUUUAUUUAUUUAUUUAUUUCUCAGAUUGAAAUGUUCUGCCCGUUUUGUGGUGUGAAAAUGGGGGACGCUCCCAAGUUUUGCCCGUCGUGUGGCAAGAAUGUGGGGUUUCUUGCGGAGCGUCCAUCCACAUCAAGUGAAGGCCGUGGGCCUACAAUGAAUGAGACACAUAUCCCAGGAAAGGCAUUCAUGAGGUUCAGGGAAAUUAAAGAGCAAGAGAGGAGGACCUUUUCAAAGGCUA